GUUGUAUGGUUAAGUGACUAAGCGUACACGGUGGAUGCCUUGGCAGUCAGAGGCGAUGAAAGACGUAAUAACUUGCGAUAAGCCCAGAUUAGGUAGUAAUAACCUUUUGAGUCUGGGAUUUCUGAAUGGGGAAACCCACGUGCAUAAGCACGUAUCCUGUUGUGAAUACAUAGCAACAGGAGGCAAACCGGGGGAACUGAAACAUCUAAGUACCCCGAGGAAGAGAAA
rnacentral:rRNA from 1 species